UCGUGAUUCAGAAGUGGUGGUGUCAGAUGAACCCUGCAUGGAGGGAGAGGAAUGUAAGGUGCUCCCUGACCUCACCGGCUGGUCCUGCAACACUGGAAACAAAGUCAAAACCACCAAGGUCACACGAUAGCAAGAGAAUCACUGAGCAGCGACAUCACCAAGUCUCUCUAACGUUAACUCCAUAUGUAAAGAAAGGACGGCACUCAUAUCUGAGACACUUAGACUGCCGACUGGCGGAAGACUGUCAGUCAUCCCAUAAUACCAAGCUGUGACAAAAACUAAAGAACAUAUAAAAAAAAAGACUCUCUGAUGGACCGAGACACCGAGGUCCAGUGUCAAAUGUAAUGGCCAAAACUGCUAUGGACUAUAGACUUUAUAGAAACAAAGGGUGUAUACUUUUAUGGUCGAUAAAGACUACGUCUGAAUACUUUUGAGGAGCAUCUGAAGACAUUCGCCUGUUAAUAGACAAAUAGGGAGAUCCAAAGAGGUGGUUUUGACCAGUGGCUGAGGAGGACGUGUAAUCGAUGGCUGAUUUGACGAAGCAUUUGUGGAUGUGUUGGCACCAGAGCCACAGACAGUGUGUCAGUGUAUGUUUCUAUGGCUCUUGGACUGGAUCCUGAACUACUCUGAUUAUAGAGUGUCGCUGCUCUAUCAGGAUGACUUUCUAUUCAUGAGCACGGAGGGGGAAGAAUAUAUCACUCGUGAAUCGCAAAUUAUUGUCAAAUUACUCUUGUGGGUCAACUCAUUACCAUGGAGAUGUUUUGAUUAUUUUAACAGUUCUAAUUAGGGUUGCUAAGAAGGAUCAUAACAACAUAUAACAAUUAAAUGUAAGAUCUUUGCACUAGUAGAAGACCGUUUUAGGAAUGUUUUGUUUUUCUAAUUAUUUCUCGUCUUUUGCUGGUGAUGUCACAUUAAAUGAAAGAGAGGAAGAUCUUUUUUAAGAGUUUUGCCUCUGAUGCUGUAAAGAUGACACAGCCUUUCUCUCUGGUAUAGUUGCAGGUUAUUACAAGUUAAUCCAUGGCUCAGACUAAAGGGAUAGUUCCCUUUGAACAUAUUUAACUAUAUACUCCGAUUCAUUGAUAACAAGCAAGUAAUCUGGACAUCAUUUGGUCGGACACUGACUCUCUAGAUCUACAGGUUACUUUCUAGUUUUCCAUAAAAUAAGGUAAAUGUGUCAUUUGUGGGAACUAAUCCUUUAAAGAGUCUUAAAUACUGCUUGUCACUAACUAUGGACUGUCCAGAAAGCUGAAAGUCGAUACCUGUGACAUCUCUAAUGUAAACUGUAAAAUAGAGCACCCAUAAACCAUUAAAACAUG